CCUACGGGUGGCAGCAGUGGGGAAUAUUGCGCAAUGGGCGAAAGCCUGACGCAGCGACGCCGCGUGAGGGAUGAAGGUCUUCGGAUCGUAAACCUCUGUCAGCAGGGAAGAACGGUCACUGUGCUAAUCAGCAGUGAAUUGACGGUACCUGCAAAGGAAGCCUCGGCUAACUCCGUGCCAGCAGCCGCGGUAAUACGGAGGGUGCGAGCGUUAAUCGGAAUUACUGGGCGUAAAGCGCUCGUAGGCGGUAUGUCAAGUCAAGGGUGAAAUCCCCGCGCUCAACGUGGGAACUGCCUGUGAAACUGGCAAACUGGAGUGUGUGAGAGGAUAGUGGAAUUCCAGGUGUAGGAGUGAAAUGCGUAGAUAUCUGGAAGAACAUCAGUGGCGAAGGCGACUAUCUGGCACAUAACUGACGCUGAGGAGCGAAAGCGUGGGUAGCAAACAGGAUUAGAUACCCCAGUAGUC
rnacentral:rRNA from 1 species